AUGGUCACAACGGCUCGAGUUUACCACCGAGACAGAGACGCUAUAGUCAGAGAAUCCGAGCUGCAGGGGAAGUUUGCAGAAGGCGCCGGAGCUUUGGCGAAAAACCUGACGUCGCUGCGGAAACGGUCGAAGAGUCUGGAGACGCAGAUGACUGAGCUGAGAGGGAAAAUCCAACAGCAGCUGGACGAGCUGCUGAGGACAGAGGUGGAGGUGGAGGUGACUCUUCGCUCCUGCCUGGCUCGUGUCUCUCCGCUCGGCCGUUUCGAGCGUCGCCUGGAGACUUCUCGGCGCUCCGGUCUCAGCUGGAGCAGACGGACUCAUCAUGGAGGAGACGUCACAUGGGAGACGUCCCUGAGAUCCGCACGGCGCCGGUGGACUUCGGCCCAGAACAGGUCCCCGUGUAUAAAACCAUCAGAGCGGUUCUGAUGGAAGGCCUGGACCUGCUGGAGGAUCUGCAGCCGCCGCGACUUCAGCUCCAGGAACGCUCGGACUCAGACUGAAGUAAAGACAAACUACCUCAUGAAAUACAAUCACCUCAAAUCACCUCAGGAACCUCAGGAACCUCAGGAACCUCUGUACGAGCUCAAUACUGUCAGGACUUCACUCAUUUCUAAGACUCUUCUGAAAAUAAAGGACUUUUUCAAUGGGGAAAAAUAAUAUGUGUCACUUCCUUCACUCUGGAUCACCAGCAUCAAACCUCGAGUCUAAAGAUGGUUCCUUUCAUUUUCUUUGACACCAGUACUUUGUGUCCGGUACCAGACGGGUCUGGUUUAACGGUACUUAGUCCUCUGAAGCUCCUCCUCCUCCGUCUGAACUCAAACACAUUCCCUCCGUUUGUGUGUUUGUCUCGUUGUCGUUUACAGACUCAGUGAAUGUACAAAAUGUCUCAGUCUCACUAAAUGAUUCAUCGUCUCAAUAAAGUAAAUACAUACGUUUGAGUGAUUAUUGUUAUUUCUAUGGGAAAGAAUCAACACAGAAUUAAAGUAACAAUGUUAUUCUUCAGUAAGAUGUUUUUAUUAUUUCUAUUGAACAAAACAACAUAAAACAGACGUUACAAUGACGUUACUGAAUAAAUAAAGCUAAAUAUUUUUAAACUUGCCAAGAGAGAAAUGUUAAAUAUGAUAAAUGAUUUCCCUGAUUUCGGGACAGUUUGUUCUAUUUUCAUCCGUCGCUGUUUUGACGUUUUGUUCCAGAAGCUUUGAGAUUUGGGUAAAGCCAAACUGGAGAAUAUGUGCUUGACUUAGGUGGGGGUUAAGAGGUUAACAUCGCUCUAUAACAGGGGGCCCAAACCUUUUGUGUCCAAAAAAUGAAAAAGUGCCUGUGGGUCGCGAGCCAAACACGGUGAAGUGUGAAACACAUAUAACUGCAAAUAAUAAUAGAUACUUUAUUUUAUUUUCAGUUUAUAUUUGCAUUUAAUUCUAUCUAUGCAAAUAACAAAAGCCUAGUUUUAGUAAAACAGAACAAUAGUAGCAGUAAAGUGCAAAAUGUAAACAACAACAACACCUGAAUCUACAGCACCUACAGUGACUUUACCUCAUUCAUUUGUUAACUCAAAGAAAAUGCCACAUUAGAUCAUUUUGAAAGUGUCAGUUCAGCAAACAUUCUUUAUAAGUCCAUUUUUAACACGUGCCUUUGUUGACGUCAACAACCUUUGCCAUAAAAGUUUGAAACAUAGUAAAGUUGAUGCUACAACGCUCUGUGAUAAACACCAAGACACCACAACAGUGUUUCCUUAACUUUACCAAAGGAGUGAAACAGCGCCCCCAAUUUGAGGCUGAUGGCCAAAAAGUGUACUGCAUCCAUAUUUAUCAUUGAGACUGAAUAGGAGAGAGUUGGUAUUAAUCUCUUACCCCCCGCCUUAACCGAGUGCAUUUUCUCCAGUUUGGCUUUACCCAAAUCUAAAAGCUCCUUGACUGGAGGUUGCAGCCUGUAGGCCAGUGUGACACCUCAUUUGAAAGCUAAGACCAAAAAAUAGUCAUCACUCUUUUGUCAUAUUUCUCUUUUGCAUUUUUGUUA
ensembl:lncRNA